rnacentral:tRNA from 1 species
GGGGAUUUAGCUCAGUGGUAGAGCCCUUGCCUAGCAAGCACAAGGACCUGGGUUCGGUCCCCAGCUCCG